GAUGAAGAACGUAGCGAAAUGCGAUAAGUAAUGUGAAUUGCAGAAUUCAGUGAAUCAUCGAAUCUUUGAACGCACCUUGCACCCUUUGGUAUUCCGAAGGGUAUGCUCGUUUGAGUGUCAUUGUACUCUCACACUUCUAAUUCCUUUCGGGAUUGGGAGCGGUGGACUUGGGUGUUGCUGCUUUAGUUGUGGCUCACCUCAAAUAAGUUAGUGCAACUCUUGGUUGGACAUAGUACGGCGUGAUAAGUGUCUUCGCCGGCGCCUCUGUAAGGAGGGUGGCCGAUCGGGAGCUCUGUGCUUCAAACCGUCUUCGGACAAUCUUUGACAACUUGACCUCAAAUCGAGUAAGACUACCCGCUGAACUUAAGCAUAUCAAUAAGCGGAGGA
rnacentral:misc_RNA from 1 species